rnacentral:lncRNA from 1 species
UAGCCCUUUCCUUGGGUUUAUUCUUGGCCCCUUCUCCAUCCCAGCACUCCUUAGCAUAGUCACCAUAUUUUUGGCAGUUAAAACAUUUGACCUUUUUCUUGUCAAAUUUCUACUCUCCAUCAGUCUUCUUUGAUUUCUUUUCUUUUCCAGACUCACUGGACUCUUCUCCUUGUUGGUCUUGAGAGUCUUUCCCUUUCUUGCCUCCUUUACCUCCUUUCUCGAAGCCCUUUUUUCCCUUCCACUGAGAUCUGCC